rnacentral:rRNA from 1 species
UACGGGGGGAGCAAGCGUUGUUCGGAUUUACUGGGCGUAAAGGGCGCGUAGGCGGUCAGCACAAGUCAGUUGUGAAAUCUCCGGGCUUAACUCGGAAAGGUCAACUGAUACUGUGCGACUAGAGUGCAGAAGGGGCAACUGGAAUUCUCGGUGUAGCGGUGAAAUGCGUAGAUAUCGAGAGGAACACCGGUGGCGAAGGCGGCUAUCUGGUCGAGUACUGACACUGAGACACGAAAGCAUGGGGAUCAAACAGG